rnacentral:lncRNA from 1 species
CACCCAAAUACGUACGGCACACCCCAAACCCUCCAAAAACUCGACGGAUCGAGGCAAAUAAGGGAAUUUCAAGCUUGUAGUGGGCUUUAUGAGGUCCUAAGGAAGCUCGGGGACGUUCGUUGGACAGUUUUGGACGUCGGGAUCGUGGGUUUCAAAGUUGGCCGAAUUCUUGGAUUUUUCUCGGUGAGAUUUCUUGAUUUUUAGACCCUAAAACUAGUCCAACGUGAUAGUACACUCUUAGGGCUUCAAAUUGAUAUAAAAUACGAAGAAAAUGGGUGAAAAACGAAGGAGAACAAGAGGUUUAAAGUUUGGCCGGAAUUGGGUCGCCGGAAAAACCAGUCCGGCGAACCCUGGGGAAGACGAUGACACGUGCCGCGCGUGGCUGCGCGUGGCCUACGCGUAGAGCCGAGCUCUAGUCGGCGCGUGAGGGCGCGUGGGGAGUCCAAAAUUGUUUCUAAAAAUUUCCCGACGCUCUUGACGUCGAGUAAGUCGAUGUGGUAUAUUCAUAAACCCAAAUUGAGCAUCGUAUGAGAAUUUUUUUUGGAAUUUUGGUGAUGUGUUUAAAAUUAACGUUUUUAUAGUUGUUUCGCAUAUAGGUGAGACGUAUCCCGAGGACGACCGCAUCCAGGGACGCCACGGGGGUUACGACCCGUCGACAUAUCAGUGAGUGGGCAGUUUUGAUUUCGUAUUUACCUAUAUACAUCUAUUUUCCCAGAAAAUACGCGUUUUAUAAAUUUAAUUUGCCAUGCAUGAAAAUAUUGAAAUACUGGAAUUGAUAAUUGAUAUAUGCGCGUGAAAUGAUGCGGUGGACGCUCAGGUGAGUUUAUUUAUUUCCAGCUGAGUUAUUUAUAUGAAUUGCAUUGAAAGCUCAUAACCUGCACCUAGGUGAUAGUGAUUAUAUUGUUAUUCACCACACCGCACGCUCGUCUUGGAUCCAAGUAUGUGGAUGUCGUACAGACCAUGUGAGGGUUCCGACAUGCCAGUCGUACAGACCAUUAGAGGGGUUCCGACUGGUGGGUGACCUUAGAUAUGCGCGCUGAUGAUUGAUGUGAGAAGCACUAGAGCGUAUUUAUACACCUGUCACCGUACAGACUACCUUAUGUAGUUCCGAGUGACGUGCAGAGUUAAACCGUACAGGUCACCGAGGUGACUCCGGUUGGAUGAGAUGUUGAGCUUUAGAAUCAGCCGUACAGGACCAUCGUAGGGUCUCCGGUUGACUUAGUAUUCACCUGAUUGAUAUUGAUUUACAUUCUGAUUAUAUUUUGGGCAUGGCAUACCGUUUCUGUGAUAUUAUGAUGAUGAAAUGUGCUGAGUUAUGAGGUUGAGUAUAUUUAUAUGUUUAUAUACUAUUUUCUGGGAAAGUAUACAGGUUUUUACGGCGAGGGGAUAUAAUUGUUUUAAUGAACUGUUUUGGAAAACUAAUUUGUUUUACUGACCCACUCAUUUUGUUUUGCGCCCCUCCAGGUUCUAGUUUAGCGGUGGUUGGCUCACGAGGUCCUUUUCCGGCUUUCUGACAGACCUUGGACAUGUAGGACUCACCUGAGGGUGAUGUAUUCUUAUUUUAGUCCUACUUGACUGCAGUUACCUAUGCUCUGAACUUAUGUGUUUGUAGUAUAACUUGUCCGGUUAUGUUCGUAGGUGGAUAUGUUUAAGUUGGUUUGAAUUUCAGCUGAUUUAU